rnacentral:lncRNA from 1 species
CGAGUGCAAAUGGCGGCGCUCAUGCGAACUGACUGAACAGCCGCGCACGCCCGUUGGCCACAUUACCGUGCGUCGGACUACACUGGACGAAAUAUGCUGCUCAAGAAUGCACAUUGACUUCGGAGGUCUUCUUCAGAAUAUUGGAGUAAAGCCAGCAAUUUUAAUGGAGUCAAUCCGUCCAUAUGACCACUUGGUGCAAGCUUCAUUUUUGUGUUACACAUUCACUUAUUACAAUAACUGUAAUAAAAGAUUUGGAAAAUACA